AUGGCUGUCGUCAGCUCGUGUCGUGAGAUGUUGGGUUAAGUCCCGCAACGAGCGCAACCCUCGCUUUCAGUUGCCAUCAUUAAGUUGGGCACUCUGAAAGAACUGCCAGUGAUAAGCUGGAGGAAGGUGGGGAUGACGUCAAGUCCUCAUGGCCCUUACGUGUUGGGCUACACACGUGCUACAAUGGCAUCUACAACAGGAAGCAAAACGGCAACGUUAAGCAAAUCCCUAAAAGAUGCCUCAGUUCGGAUUGCACUCUGCAACUCGAGUGCAUGAAGCUGGAAUUACUAGUAAUCGUGGAUCAGCGUGCCACGGUGAAUACGUUCCCGGGUCUUGUACACACCGCCCGUCACACCAUGGAAGUUGGUUACACCUUAAGGCAAAGCGUCAAACCUUUGACUACGGUACGAUCAGCGACUGGGGUGAAGUCGUAACAAGGUAGCCGUAGGGGAACCUGCGGCUGGAUCACCUCCUUUCUAAGGAAAUCGAAAAUAUCAAAACAAUUAUUUUCGAUUUAAAAAAAUCGGUUAAUGUGACCGUCCUCAUUUCUCUUCUUUAAUGUCUCUAAGGUAAAUCAAGGGGCCGGUAGCUCAGUUGGUUAGAGCACACGCUUGAUAAGCGUGGGGUCGAAAGUUCGAGUCUUUCUCGGCCCACCACACUUAACUGGGGGAUUAGCUCAGCUGGGAGAGCGCCUGAUUUGCAUUCAGGAGGUCAGCGGUUCGAUCCCGCUAUCCUCCACCAGGAAACAUUUAGUUAUUCAAACUGUAAAUAAAAAUAAUUUAUAUCAAUAUCUAUAUCCGAACAUUAAUUUUGUUAUUAGUUAAUGUUCAAAAUAAAAAUUUGAUCACAACGCAGAUUAAAUUUCUUUAAAAAGAAUUUUUUUCUGUGCAUAAAUCAAGCGUUUAAGGGCGAUUGGCGGAUGCCUUGGCACUGUAAGACGAUGAAGGACGUGGUAUACUGCGAUAAGUUUCGGGGAGCCGUAUGCAGGCUUUGAUCCGAAAAUUUCCGAAUGGGGAAACCCGG
rnacentral:sRNA from 1 species